GAGCACGUAGGUGGGUUUGUAAGUCAGCUGUGAAAGCCUUCUGCUUAACGGAAGAACAGCAGUUGAAACUACAGGGCUUGAGUGUGGGAGAGGAGAGUGGAACUUCUGGUGGAGCGGUGAAAUGCGUAGAUAUCAGAAGGAACGCCGGCGGCGAAAGCGGCUCUCUGGCCCGUAACUGACGCUGAGUGUGCGAAAGCUAGGGGAGCAAACGGGAUUAGAUACCCCGGUAGCCCUAGCCGUAAACGAUGGGCACUAAGUAGAGGGGUUUU
rnacentral:rRNA from 1 species